rnacentral:rRNA from 1 species
UGCGUGAUCAAUCCGCAGGAGGAGUCUCCCAGGCGCUCCUGCGGUGCCUAUUGUUGCCUCGGGGGAUCAGCCCGCUCCCGGUAAAACGGGACGGCCCGCCAGAGGACCCCUAAACUCUGUUUCUAUAUGUAACUUCUGAGUAAAACCAUAAAUAAAUCAAAACUUUCAACAACGGAUCUCUUGGUUCUGGCAUCGAUGAAGAACGCAGCAAAAUGCGAUAAGUAAUGUGAAUUGCAGAAUUCAGUGAAUCAUCGAAUCUUUGAACGCACAUUGCGCCCGCCAGUAUUCUGGCGGGCAUGCCUGUUCGAGCGUCAUUUCAACCCUCAAGCCCAGCUUGGUGUUGGGACUCGCGAGUUAAACCGCGUUCCCCAAAUUGAUUGGCGGUCACGUCGAGCUUCCAUAGCGUAGUAGUAAAACCCUCGUUACUGGUAAUCGUCGCGGCCACGCCGUUAAACCCCAACUUCUGAAUGUUGACCUCGGAUCAGGUAGGAAUACCCGCUGAACUUAAGCAUAUCAUUAAGCGGAGGAAGUAGGUGAACCUGCAAAUCCACCUGUUAAUCCGAGGAGGCCCCCGGACCCUCGUUAAAAGGACGCCAAGCAUACUCAUUUAUAUGCUAUCGAAUAACAUAAAUAAUAAAAUCACGCGUCUGGGUUGGCAUCAUAAAAAAACAAGCAUAUAUGGGAAGUAAAAUUGAAUCCAACUUAACCAUGCGCCCAUUGGGGGCGGGUUCGCCUCUCUGUUGGG